rnacentral:rRNA from 1 species
AGCGAACGCUGGCGGCAGGCCUAACACAUGCAAGUCGAGCGCCCCGCAAGGGGAGCGGCAGACGGGAGAGUAACACGUGGGAACGUACCCUUCAGUUCGGAACAACCCAGGGAAACUUGGGCUAAUACCGAAUACGUCCGUAAGGAGAAAGAUUUAUCGCUGAAGGAUCGGCCCGCGUCUGAUUAGCUAGUUGGUGAGGUAACGGCUCACCAAGGCGACGAUCAGUAGCUGGUCUGAGAGGAUGAUCAGCCUCACUGGGACUGAGACACGGCCCAGACUCCUACGGGAGGCAGCAGUGGGGAAUAUUGGACAAUGGGCGCAAGCCUGAUCCAGCCAUGCCGCGUGGAUGAUGAAGGCCCUAGGGUUGUAAAGUCCUUUCGGCGGGGAAGAUAAUGACGGUACCCGCAGAAGAAGCCCCGGCUAACUUCGUGC